AUCCUUUUGCAGUUCAUAAGUGUGAGGACUGGGUUUUCACACUCACGUGUGAGAUGUGCUUCCCUUAAGCCUUGUUAUGACAUCAACACAUUACCCGCCUGAUA